rnacentral:rRNA from 1 species
GACAGAGGUGCCAAGCGUUAGGCGGAAUCACUGGGCUUAAAGCGUGUGUAGGCGGAUCGUUAAGUCUGAUGUGAAAGCCCACGGCUCAACCGUGGAGGGUCAUUGGAAACUGGGGGACUUGAGUACAGAAGAGAAGAGUGGAAUUCCACGUGUAGCGGUGAAAUGCGUAGAGAUGUGGAGGAACACCAGUGGCGAAGGCGACUCUUUGGUCUGUAACUGACGCUCAUGCACGAAAGCGUGGGGAGCAAACAGG